AACGCACCUUGCGCCCUUUGGCCAUUCCGAAGGGCAUGCCUGUUUGAGUAUCAUGAACACCUCAACUCUUCAUGGUUUUCCAUGAUGAGCUUGGACUUUGGGGGUCUUGCUGGCCUGUGGGUCGGCUCCUCUCAAAUGAAUCAGCUUGCCGGUUUUUGGUGGGCAUCACAGGUGUGAUAACUAUCUACGCUUGUGGUUUUCCACCAGGGUAACCUUCAGCAGUGGAGGUUCACUGGAGCUUACAAAUGUCUCUCCUCUGUGAGGACAGCCCUUUGAAUGUUUGAUCUCAAAUCAGGUAGGACUACCCGCUGAACUUAA
rnacentral:misc_RNA from 3 species